rnacentral:lncRNA from 1 species
GUUUAGCAAUGGAUUCAGGAAUAAGUACAUGUGUUUUCCCACCUCUAUCUUGAGCAAAUAAUUCCUUAAACCACCGACGCAUUCUAACUCACAACAUGCAUUGUUACUGUUAUUGACAUUUCCAUCCAAUUGCAAAUCAACAAGGAUUGCAAUGUGCACAAAAUCAGUAUAUUACACAAAAUCAGCAUGGAUCAUAGUCUUGCACAAAAUCAGCAUGGAUGUUUGUCAAUUUUCCUUGUAAACCUUUAUAGAAAAUUGCAUAAUGUUAGCAUAAAUCUUAGCCAAUUUUCUUUGUAUAGCAACCUCAUUGUACCUAUUUAUUGACUUCAAGAAUGAAUGAAACAUACAACAGAAUUAUCCAUUUUCUUCUUUAACAUGGUAUCAGAGCCUAACCAGUCCUCUUCUUCCUGUGUCCUCAUGGCUGUUGAAACCAACACACCUCCUCGAGCCCCAAAUUUCUCUCCUUACCUCCUACAUCCCUUUGAUUCUCCUAAUCUCAUUCUUGUUUCUAGACUACUCACCGGAGACAAUUAUCCUAAAUGGCAGCGAGCUAUAAGUCGUGCCCUCAAUGCCAAAAGCAAACUUUGUUUUGUGAAUGGCACUCUCCAAAACGCUACAGCCGAUUCUCCCACCUAUUCUCAUUGGAGCCAAACCAAGGACAUGGUCCUCACUUGGUUGCUCAAUACCAUCAGCCCCUCUAUUGUAAAUUCUCUUGAAUAUCACACAAAUCCCCGGGACCUAUAGACAGAUCUUCAAUCUUGUUUCAGCCACGGCAACAACAUCCGGCUCUAUCACCUAAAACAUGAUUUAUACAACCUCGCACAAAAUACCCAACCCAUCCAUGAUUACUAUAACCAAAUUAAGCAGAUAUGAGAUGAGUUGGGUGACUUACUGAAUGUUAUAGACCUUGCUGAAAAAAAAGGCUGAAGAUGAGCAAGUUUUUCAAUUCCUUCUUGGAUUGAAUGACUCCUACUCCUCAUUACGUACACAAAUCCUUGCCCUUGAUCCAUUGCCUUCGAUGCAAAAAGUAUUUUCAACUCUCUUUUAGGAAGAGCAACAGCGACUUCUCCACCUCCGCACUGAAAGCCCAAGAACAACUAACCAAGAGGGGGGUGAAUUGGUUAGUUGAAACUUUUUCGAAAAUAAGUUCAAAUUUAAGCAAAUAACAAUUAAAGUAAUAAGUAAGCAAGAUAUCACAAAAAAUAAUAAGAGGAAGGAAAGAGUGAGCGCAAACAAUGCAAUAAGGAGGUUCGAUCCAAUCAACGAUCUACGUUCCUCGUUACCAAUCUCUCCGUCACGAGCAAGGCAUUUUCCACUAUAUUUAAUUGACUUAUGGUGCAAUCCAACCUUUACAAAGCUUCCGGUGACUUACAAUCAAGGAGCACCGAUUCUUUUACACCGUUGAGAUUUUUGGGACCUCAAC